AGAGUAAAAAUGAAUUCCAAAAGUGUUGGAAUAGUAUUAGCGUUGUUGGACGCGAAAAGAAAUCAAAACGGAGUGAAAAACAGCAUUCUGGAGCUGUUGUACCGGUACAAGGGUGAUGGCUGUACCGGUACAACCAUCGCAGCCAGGCUGCGUAAUCUCGGGUUCGAAGGCUUCAGGCGCUGUACCGGUACAAGGCUGGCUUGUACCGGUACAAGCUCUGCGAAACAGGUUAACCCGAGGCUCGGUUUUCGCUCGGUAUAAGACCUUGUACCGGUACAAGGUCCCGUGUACCGGUACAAGGGCGCGCAGGCUGCGGGUUAAGUUGCAAAAUUUGAUAAAUGGAGGGCUUAUUAGCAUCUUGUUACAAUAGAGGACUUAACCCCCCUCUCUCACAGCAAUCUCCUCUCACUCUCUCCUCAGCUCACUCUCUCUCUAGCUCCCUCUCUCUCUCUAACCGGUUGAAGAGAAAAGGAAGGAGAAGAAAAAGAGAAGGAAAAAGAAGGAAAAAGAGAGGAAGAAAAGGAAGGAGAAGAAGGAGAAGAAGGUUUAG
rnacentral:lncRNA from 1 species